ACCAGAUCACCAAAUCAGUUGAUUUUUGACCAAUUUUGAUCUGAUUUGACUCGGGUUGACCCAAUUGAGUCUUCUUUCUUCAUUCUUCAAUUCCUGGGUCAAUUUAACUCUGUUUUGCAUAAAAUUUGCACCGUUGGAAUCCUCUUUCCUUGUUCUUUCUAUUGAUGACCUCUUCUUCUGUAAAAUAUAAUAACAAGUAUCAAUUUCCUAAUAAAGUUAGAUAAUUUAGAUAUUAAUUGAUAUUUUUUAUGUCAAUUUGUGACAUAAAUC
rnacentral:lncRNA from 1 species